AUUGAACGCUGGCGGCAGGCCUAACACAUGCAAGUCGAACGAGUGGCGGACGGGUGAGUAAUGUCUGGGAAACUGCCUGAUGGAGGGGGAUAACGUCCGGAAACGGGCGCUAAUACCGCAUACUAUCAGAUGAGCCUAGGUCGGCUUAGCUAGUUGGUGGGGUAAAGGCCUACCAAGGCGACGAUCCGUAACUGGUCUGAGAGGCUGAUAAGUCACACGGGAACUGAGACACGGUCCAGACUCCUACGGGAGGCAGCAGUGGGGAAUAUUGGACAAUGGGCGAAAGCCUGAUCCAGCCAUGCCGCGUGUAUGAAGAAGGACUUCGGUUUGUAAAGUACUUUCAGCGGGGAGGCGUUACCCGCAGAAGAAGCACCGGCUAACUCCGUGCCAGCAGCCGCGGUAAUUC
rnacentral:rRNA from 1 species